UCCUCCCGUAGGGGAGAACCUGCGGAAGGAUCAUUACCGAGUGUAGGGUUCCUAGCGAGCCCAACCUCCCACCCGUGUUUACUGUACCUUAGUUGCUUCGGCGGGCCCGCCAUUCAUGGCCGCCGGGGGCUCUCAGCCCCGGGCCCGCGCCCGCCGGAGACACCACGAACUCUGUCUGAUCUAGUGAAGUCUGAGUUGAUUGUAUCGCAAUCAGUUAAAACUUUCAACAAUGGAUCUCUUGGUUCCGGCAUCGAUGAAGAACGCAGCGAAAUGCGAUAACUAGUGUGAAUUGCAGAAUUCCGUGAAUCAUCGAGUCUUUGAACGCACAUUGCGCCCCCUGGUAUUCCGGGGGGCAUGCCUGUCCGAGCGUCAUUGCUGCCCAUCAAGCACGGCUUGUGUGUUGGGUCGUCGUCCCCUCUCCGGGGGGGACGGGCCCCAAAGGCAGCGGCGGCACCGCGUCCGAUCCUCGAGCGUAUGGGGCUUUGUCACCCGCUCUGUAGGCCCGGCCGGCGCUUGCCGAACGCAAAUCAAUCUUUUCCAGGUGACCUCGGAUCAGGUA
rnacentral:rRNA from 1 species